CCUCUUUAAAUGUCUUGCUGAUACCAUAUUGCCAGCUCCUACACUCUGUAUGGUCCUUACAUACUUCAAGUUAGCCUUCAUAAAUGACGCCACUUGUCGAUAUUCUAUCGAUCCACGAUUCCGAUAAAAAGACUUCCCACAUUUGAUGCUACAAAUCUCCUGCAUAAGUGUACUUGAUCAGACAUUGCAAAAAGCAAGAAGUCACACUUAUGAAAUCAAAAACACCGAGCCUAAAUACAUGCCAU